GGAAUAUUGGGCAAUGGAGGCAACUCUGACCCAGCCAUGCCGCGUGCAGGAAGACGGUCCUCUGGAUUGUAAACUGCUUUUGAAUGGGAAGAAUGUGCUCCUUGCGAGGGGUAAUGACGGUACCAUUAGAAUAAGCCACGGCUAACUACGUGCCAGCAGCCGCGGUAAUACGUAGGUGGCGAGCGUUAUCCGGAUUUAUUGGGUUUAAAGGGUGCGUAGGCGGCUUAAUAAGUCGGUGGUUAAAAGUAGC
rnacentral:rRNA from 1 species